rnacentral:lncRNA from 1 species
AAAUAUGUUUGUAUAUACUCCGAGAUAGCAUGCGUAAAAAGUCGUAAAAGAAAAAAACAUUCAGAGAUUAGGUAACGGGACCGUGAGUGAAAAGAAAAAUAUUUAAACCAUUUGUUUAUUUAUUUAUUCAUUUUUAAUCAAUAUAACAUUUUAAAAUAAUAAAAUAGUCAAUUUCUGUCGGUUAUAACCGCCACCAUUAACUUAAAAACCGUCAGAAUAUGUUAAAAAUAUUAAAAAAAGAAAAGAAUUCAAAAAUACUGAGGGUUAUAAUAAUUUUAUGGUGGUUGACAGAAAGUAACUUUAAUCCAACAGUAAAUAAAUUAUGUGUCGGAUAUCUUUUAUCCGUCAGAAUGGCUUAUUAACCGCCAGAAUCGUCCGACACCUAAAGCUAAUAUUGUAGUAGUGACACGAGUUCUUCUUACUUGAUCCUCGCGAUUGUUGGCCCUUGCCUCAUCCUCUUCAGCUUUCGUUGGCAUGAAAUUGUAGUAGGAUGUGGUCUUGAUGUUAUUAGGGUUCUUCUUAUUUCCUGUCAUUGCGAUGAGAGAAGGUUGAAUAUUGAAAAUCCAGAUUGUGGUAUGGAUUUUAUAAUGAUACAUGCAUGGUGCGUUAUUAACAAAGUUGUUAAUCUUUAUGUUAACCAAAUCUGGAGCAAUUUCGAGAAGACAUGUAAAGGGAAGUUUUGUGGGUAAACGUAUAAAACUUUUCGUUACUUCCGCAGUUUCCAGAUAUUUAUGAUUUGUGAUGGAUUCUCAUACAAAAACGAAUUUAAUUUGUUCGCAAAUGUUUACACUUAUCACAAUGUUCAUAUCACAUUUAUACCAUCUUUAAUACAGGUAGGGCUUACAAAUAUAAGUGGACCCCACCUCUAUUAGUACAAAUGUUGUAAGUGUAGUAUUUUUUUGUUAAUGAAUUAGUUGCAUGUAUAAGGGUACGUAUUUAACAACUAAAACAAUACACUAUACAAGUGAAUGUGAGACUAAGAGUUCGAGUAUAGUAUCAUUCCGAUUUAAUAACAUAAUGUUAUGUUGAAAAAGACUUCAACAUGACAUUAUCUAUUGGAUCAAAACAUUAAAUAUAAAUUUUUAUUAUCCCAACUUUUUACAUAUGCAUAUAAAAACCUAAUAUCCCUCACAUACAUAAACUACUCAUCUAGGCUCGCUCUAUAAUAUUUUUAAUAACUUGAACCAAGCAUCUUUUAAGUUAUUACUAAAAGAUCAUCUUACAAAAUCGAAAGACGUUUAGUUAUCUAAAUAUGACCUGAUAAAAUAUAUAUCAUUUUACAUUCUUAUAUUUAUACCACUAGUGCUACAACAUAGAAAUAUUUCUCUUCACUUGUAAUUUUAGGUUCAAAACCAGUAAAUAGCAAAUUUGAUAUGUUUUAAUGUUUAGUUUUUAGGAUAAAAUAUUGUUGUAUAUAAAAUUAUUAGUUCUAAGAUUAAUUGGUAAGUUUACGAUAUAAUCUUGAUUUAUCCCAUAACUUGAAAUAAUUAAAUAAAUUUAAUUAAAUAAUCACGUUUACUUUUUUUAUUUAUUAUUACAAACAAUAUUACUAUCUCAAAUUACACUGAAAAAGGACAAGAAUGAUUCAAAGAAUUGACCCAAUGAUUUAAUAAGGAAGACUCAAUUUUGCCACGAGAAUCCACGACUUCUUACAUUUACAUUUUACUUUUAAUAAAAUGUAUAAUGGGGCAUAUAAUUUAUUGAAUAACAAAGCUAACAAUUUAUAUACAACUAUUACAUACUUCUUUUGGGACUUUUUCUUUUUAUUCGAACAAGAAAGGGAGAUCAUACUCAAUAUAUGCGGUGCAAUGGUAAUACUCCUGACCAAUUUAAGUUACAAUUAUCCCACUAAACAAUAAACCAUACAAGUGAGGAUGAGACUAAUUAAGAGU